UACGUAGGGUGCGAGCGUUGUCCGGAAUUACUGGGCGUAAAGAGCUCGUAGGUGGUUUGUCACGUCGUCUGUGAAAUUCCGGGGCUUAACCUCGGGCGUGCAGGCGAUACGGGCAAUACUUGAGUGUUGUAGGGGAGACUGGAAUUCCUGGUGUAGCGGUGAAAUGCGCAGAUAUCAGGAGGAACACCAAUGGCGAAGGCAGGUCUCUGGGCAGUUACUGACGCUGAGGAGCGAAAGCAUGGGUAGCGAACAGGAUUAGAUACCCCGGUA
rnacentral:rRNA from 1 species